rnacentral:tRNA from 1 species
GCCUGAAUAGCUCAGUUGGUAGAGCAGCGCAUUCGUAAUGCGAAGGUCAUCGGUUCGAUUCCGGUUUCAGGCA